rnacentral:lncRNA from 1 species
GUGCAAAAAUACUGUAUUAAAUAAUUGGGUGCGUAUAUGUCUCCAGCACCUAACCGCAAGGACUGUGUUGCUUUGUUGGCGUUGAAGUGACUGACCGUGGAGCUGAAUAUAAGGCUAUGACGCAGAUGCUACUAGAGGAUUCACUGUCCCUGUCAUAAGGCUUAAUAAUAGCGAGAUGAUACAUGAUGGAGGUUUGUAAAUCUGUGUGCCCAGCCUUGAAUAUCAUCCACCGCUCGUGUGUGUGAUAGUUCAGAUACAUGUGAGGGGAAAAACUUUGGCCGUCCUCGUCGUGUGGCUUGUGUUUGUGUGUUUGCAGCAGGUCUAGGACAGUGGUGUAGGUCAGAAAGGUGGGCUGCACAGCAGGAGGCGUAACAGAGGAGCUAUUUUGGGGGCGCCGUUCACAUGUGGGAGGAGAGGCCAUAAAUCAGCCAUCAGAAAUCCACUACACUGAUUUCUCCUCCACCAUCGCUCAUCUGACCACUCUCUAACCAACACUUCUCCAUACAGGGCACUUAGCGCAAGGUGACCAUGUCUGAGGGACAGAGAAAGUCUAAAAAAUCAAGAUCCAAGCCCACGUCCAAUUACUCAGCCACGCGCCGGCUGAUGCUGAAGGUGGGUAAAAAAAAACACGGAGUCAAUAUCUUCAGCAGAUGAAUCACCACCUAUAUCCAUUAU